CACAAAGAAGAAUGUAAAAUAUGGAUCAAGUUCAAUGCCAAAAGAAAGUAAAAAAAAACUACUGGUGUAUUUUACUGGUCAUUGUAAUCAUAUAUAGUGUAGAGCAAUUGGUGGAACAUAUUUCGGCAUGAGGUUGUUGAUAAAAUGAAAGCUAAAUGAAUAAAGCAAAUUUGGCAAUAUACACAAGAAGUUAGUGUUGGUAAUAGUGGUACUCUACUGCAGUAAACGAUAACGUCGUUUUAAGGAUAAUAUUGAUAUCAGAUUGAUUACAGAAACAAGGCAGUUGCCAUACUUAUUCAACGAUAUUAGUGAUCCAGAAAAAUUAAACGGCAUACAAUAUAAAAAAAUUAUGUUAUAUAUAUAUUGUAUUAUAUGUAUAUUGUAGCUACGGGAACUUCAUGACCAUCUCAGCUGCAAUUUUAAUUCAGUCAAGAUGAAAUAUUGUCAAAAAAUAGAAAGCGUUGCAGUAAGCCAAUGAAAACAGUAUCUCAAAGGCAACGUUGGAGUGUUUAUGUCGAAGCUCAGGUUAUGCUAACCAUUGUUCAAAUAUUUGAAUUGAUCUAUUAAUUUGCAUAAAUAUACAAAGUUUUGAAAAAUUUUGGAGUCCGGCAAUUGCGUCGAUAUUUUCAAUAUAUAAUACAAUCAAGGGAGGGAUUGCCUCGAGGUGAAAAUUAGUUAUUAAUGAUUGAGUUCACCACUCUAAGCAUGGUUCGCGCAAUCCGAAAGCAACAGUACUUCUCUUCGAUGUAUCUAAUUCAUCUGAAGUUCAGAAAUACGGAACACUAUCCGAUUGUAAGGAUUGUCAUAUUCCAUAACGAUUAUCAUAAAAAUUUCAACGCUAUAGUUAAGAAUAGCUCAAGAGGAUGAAGAAACUCUAAUGAAAAGCUGCGAUACUUUACAAGACUUUGUCAUUUAAUACCAAUUUGGAAGCAUACUAGCAUAUGGAUGUUAGCACACGAGUAACUACUUUUUCAUAUAGAGACCAAUGCAAGUGCAAUAUUCAUUUGUAGUGGCCACAGAAAUAAGUUAGAGUUGGCAAAAACUAUAAACUGAGUUCUUGUGGAAUAUUUGAAAAUUAACACAGUGAUGGAAAAUUUUCUGGGAUUGUGUCCUUUUAAUAUGACAUUAGUUGCUAUAAAUCUACAUAGAGAUAUGCAAAUGCAAUGCUUGUGAAAAUUACAGACGUUUCUAUCAAGAAUACUUCAGAAAUCUGAAGCAAACCACUAAACCACUAAAAAAGGAACUUAAAACCAAUGAAGAAAAACUAAUUAUAUGACGCGAACACACUAGGAAGUUAAACUAAAAGAAUUUGAAUAUCUAGGCAACACGUAAUGCUCAACGUACAUAAAGACCUACCCAAAGACCAAUCAUUAGAAAUAGAUUUGUAGACAAAAACCGUGACAUUGGAAAAUAUAAGUGGUUGUGCAAAAACAAUUCAAAUUUUCAGAACUUCAAAUAUUCAGUUAUUCUAACCUCAUCUAACCUCAUAACAUAGCAAAAAAGAUAUCGCGGUCCAAACAUUUCUAUGGUACCUAUGUUGACAAUAUAUCUAAAAAGUUUUAUAAACUAUUAAUAAACACCUGGAAUGCAAUUGGUAUACAUAACAUACGAUUUAGCAACAGUCCCUGAUUAUGGUACCUGGUAACUCUUACUAUAGCUCAAUUAUAUUGAUUUCAGUAACCAGCAACUAAUGGUCAGUCAAAGAUACAAAGUGUUUAAGAUAUACUGUGAAUUCUUUAUGCCAGCUGCAGGUGAUUAUUUUCAACGUCACUAAGGAAUAUGGAAUGAAAAGAUUGAGUUGAGGAAUGCAUGUUCUAUAUCUUCUGAUUAUGAACUUAACACUUUCUAUACAACAUCAUGAAAUUGCUUGUAUAUAUGAUCUAUCUAUUGGUAUAAAUUUUAAAUAACGUACAUAUAUGUACAUAUGUGAGAACGUUGGAUUUUUACUUGAAAAAUAAGUUGGAGAGCAUAGAACGCAAUUU